AGAGUUUGAUCCUGGCUCAGGACGAACGCUGGCGGCGCGCUUAACACAUGCAAGUCGAGCGAGAACCAAGCCUUCGGGCUUGGGGACAGCGGCGAACGGGUGAGUAACACGUGAGUAAUCCACCCUUGGUACCGGGAUAGCUCGGGGAAACUCGAAUUAAUACCGGAUGGCCCAUUAGCCUUUCGAGGCGAAUGGAAAAGGUAGCUUCGGCCUCCGACCAAGGACGAGCUCGCGGCGGAUUAGCUUGUUGGCGGGGUAAUGGCCCACCAAGGCGACGAUCCGUAGCUGGUCUGAGAGGACGAUCAGCCACACUGGGACUGAGACACGGCCCAGACUCCUACGGGAGGCAGCAGUGGGGAAUCUUGCGCAAUGGGCGAAAGCCUGACGCAGCGACGCCGCGUGAGGGAAGAAGGCCUUCGGGUUGUAAACCUCCUUCAGGAGGGACGAAGCCACUCGGGUUAAUAGCCCAGAGGGUGACGGUACCUCCAGAAGAAGCCCCGGCUAACUACGUGCCAGCAGCCGCGGUAAUACGUAGGGGGCAUGCGUUGUCCGGAUUUAUUGGGCGUAAAGAGCGUGUAGGCGGUUUUACAGGUCCGCUGUGAAAACUCGAGGCUCAACCUCGAGCUGUCGGUGGAAACCGUAAGGCUAGAGUCCGGAAGAGGAGAGUGGAAUUCCUGGUGUAGCGGUGAAAUGCGCAGAUAUCAGGAAGAACACCCGUGGCGAAGGCGGCUCUCUGGGACGGUACUGACGCUGAGACGCGAAAGCGUGGGGAGCGAACAGGAUUAGAUACCCUGGUAGUCCACGCCGUAAACGAUGGGUGCUAGGUGUGGGGGGUGUCAACUCCCCCCGUGCCGAAGCUAACGCAUUAAGCACCCCGCC
rnacentral:rRNA from 1 species